rnacentral:lncRNA from 1 species
UUGUUAAAAUUUCCUUAUCUUGCUUACCUUCAGGCUCGUAUGGUUCGACAACCUUACCUUUCCCAGUCAUGCGAAAACGUCGCUUAUCAAGAAGGUAUUAAAGUUGAAAAUUAUCGUCACUCGCCCUUUCAGAGACCUGAUAAGAAGGAGGAGAACAAAAACUAACAUCACGGGGGUUAGUUAAAAUUUCGCUCUCUUUUUCUUAUUCUCUCUCACCAUCUUCAUUUUCUUUCGUUUCUUUUUCAACUUCUUUUUCUUUUUCAAUUUUUUUCUCAAUCUCAAUUUCUUUUUCAAUUUUCUUUUCUUCGUUUUCUUUUUCUCUCACUUUUUUGAGUUCUUUUUCUUUUGCAAUUUCUUUUUCUUUUUCGUUUUCUAUUUCUUUUUCACUUUCUAUUUCUUUUUCUUAUUUUUCAUUUUUAUUACAAUGUGAGGAUGAUACAAAAGAAUAAAAAAGAUAAGCAUUUGGCUCAAAGAAAGAGAAAAUAUUUUCGUAGGCUUCUCGUUUAUUUCAUUGGGAACAAUCCUUCGGGAAGGACUUCUUUGAAGCAUACGAGGAAUAACCCAUGCUUUCUUAUUCGUCAUAUCAAAAAGUCGCAAGCUCGAAGCUGUCG